AGCGAACGCUGGCGGCAGGCCUAACACAUGCAAGUCGAACGAACUCUUCGGAGUUAGUGGCGGACGGGUGAGUAACACGUGGGAACGUGCCUUUUGGUUCGGAAUAACUCAGGGAAACUUGUGCUAAUACCGAAUGUGCCCUUCGGGGGAAGGAUUUAUCGCCAUUAGAGCGGCCCGCGUCUGAUUAGCUGGUUGGUGAGGUAACGGCUCACCAAGGCGACGAUCAGUAGCUGGUCUGAGAGGAUGACCAGCCACACUGGGACUGAGACACGGCCCAGACUCCUACGGGAGGCGGGAGUGGGGAAUCUAGCGCAAUGGGCGAAAGGCUGAAGCAGCCAUGCCGGGUGAAUGAUGAAGGUCUUAGGAAUGUAAAAUUCUUUCACCGGGGACGGUAAUGACGGUACCCGGAGAAGAAGCCCCGGCUAACUUCGUG
rnacentral:rRNA from 1 species